UCACCGAACACACAGAAAUCGAAUAACAAGAGUCUUACAGCCAUACAUACCGUUCGAUACAAUUAAUGACCACUACGGUUAAGUCUUACAUAGAUAGGGCCUUAAAGGACAACACACCAAACUUGACCAAUAUCGGAAUUACUAGUCGAAAGCAUGAACCCAUGCCAUCAGCCUUAACCUACAAGCAUUCUGACUAGGAAAAUGUCCUAACUCGCAG
rnacentral:lncRNA from 1 species